CGCCAGACUCCUACGGGAGGCAGCAGUGGGGGAUAUUGCACAAUGGGGGGAACCCUGAUGCAGCGACGCCGCGUGGGUGAAGAAGCGCCUCGGCGCGUAAAGCCCUGUCAGCAGGGAAGAAAAUGACGGUACCUGACUAAGAAGCCCCGGCUAACUACGUGCCAGCAGCCGCGGUAAUACGUAGGGGGCAAGCGUUAUCCGGAUUUACUGGGUGUAAAGGGAGCGUAGACGGCAAUGCAAGCCAGAUGUGAAAGCCCGGGGCUCAACCCCGGGACUGCAUUUGGAACUGUGUAGCUGGAGUGUCGGAGAGGCAGGCGGAAUUCCUAGUGUAGCGGUGAAAUGCGUAGAUAUUAGGAGGAACACCAGUGGCGAAGGCGGCCUGCUGGACGAUGACUGACGUUGAGGCUCGAAAGCGUGGGGAGCAAACAGGAUUAGAUACCCCGGUAAC
rnacentral:rRNA from 1 species